GUAAAUCUGGGCCAUUGGGUCUCAGCCACGAGACAAGCUGUGAUCAUGGAUUCCUCCUCUGGGACCUCCGCCCUCUCGUUCAUGCAACUGAAUAAGAUCCGCAAGCUUCCACACCUGAUGCAGCCGUCUGACCCCUGGAGGUUAUACCAUCCGGACAUACGUCUUGUGCACACGUUACUUCUACAUACUAUUCCUUGGGGUGCAGUUCACAGAACAUGACUCCGUGGCAGAUGGGACACAUACAGAAGUGCUGCAGUGGAAGUACACCUGUAGGGCCACAAGACA